rnacentral:rRNA from 1 species
AUUGAACGCUGGCGGCAGGCCUAACACAUGCAAGUCGAGCGGCAGCGGAAAGUAGCUUGCUACUUUGCCGGCGAGCGGCGGACGGGUGAGUAAUGUCUGGGAAACUGCCUGAUGGAGGGGGAUAACUACUGGAAACGGUAGCUAAUACCGCAUAACGUCGCAAGACCAAAGAGGGGGACCUUCGGGCCUCUUGCCAUCAGAUGUGCCCGGAUGGGAUUAGCUAGUAGGUGGGGUAACGGCUCACCUAGGCGACGAUCCCUAGCUGGUCUGAGAGGACGACCAGCCACACUGGAACUGAGACACGGUCCAGACUCCUACGGGAGGCAGCAGUGGGGAAUAUUGCACAAUGGGCGCAAGCCUGAUGCAGCCAUGCCGCGUGUAUGAAGAAGGCCUUCGGGUUGUAAAGCACUUUCAGCGGGGAGGAAGGUGUUGAGGUUAAUAACCUCAGCAAUUGACGUUACCCGCAGAAGAAGCACCGGCUAACUCCGCGCCAGCCGCCGCCGUAACAC